CUAAGCGUACACGGUGGAUGCCCUGGCAGUCAGAGGCGAUGAAGGACGUGCUAAUCUGCGAUAAGCGCCGGUAAGGUGAUAUGAACCGUUAUAACCGGCGAUUUCCGAAUGGGGAAACCCAGUGUGAUUCGUCACACUAUCAUUAACUGAAUCCAUAGGUUAAUGAGGCGAACCGGGGGAACUGAAACAUCUAAGUACCCCGAGGAAAAGAAAUCAACCGAGAUUCCCCCAGUAGCGGCGAGCGAACGGGGAGGAGCCCAGAGCCUGAAUCAGCAUGUGUGUUAGUGGAAGCGUCUGGAAAGGCGCGCGAUACAGGGUGACAGCCCCGUACACAAAAGCGCAUGUGCUGUGAGCUCGAUGAGUAGGGCGGGACACGUGGUAUCCUGUCUGAAUAUGGGGGGACCAUCCUCCAAGGCUAAAUACUCCUGACUGACCGAUAGUGAACCAGUACCGUGAGGGAAAGGCGAAAAGAACCCCGGCGAGGGGAGUGAAAAAGAACCUGAAACCGU
rnacentral:rRNA from 1 species